rnacentral:rRNA from 1 species
GACGAACGCUGGCGGCGCGCUUAACACAUGCAAGUCGAACGGAAAGGCCUGCUUUCCCUUGUGGAUUGCGGGUACUCGAGUGGCGAACGGGUGAGUAACACGUGAGUGAUCUGCCCCCAACUUGGGUAUAAGCCUGGGAAACUGGGUCUAAUUCCCGAUAGGACUGCAGGGUGGUGCCUGUGGUGGAAAACGAUUUUCUAGUGGUUGGGGAUGAGCUCGCGGCCUAUCAGCUUGUUGGUGGGGUAAUGGCCUACCAAGGCGGCGACGGGUAGCCGGCCUAAGAGGGUGGACGGCCACAUUGGGACUGAGAUACGGCCCAGACUCCUACGGGAGGCAGCAGUGGGGAAUAUUGCACAAUGGGCGGAAGCCUGAUGCAGCGACGCCGCGUGGGGGAUGACGGCCUUCGGGUUGUAAACUCCUUUCGACCGCGAGGAAGCCACCUGGUUGGAAGGGUGGUGACGGUAGUGGUAGAAGAAGCACCGGCUAACUACGUG